GAUGAACGCUGGCGGCGUGCCUAAUACAUGCAAGUCGAGCGAACAGAUAAGGAGCUUGCUCCUUUGACGUUAGCGGCGGACGGGUGAGUAACACGUGGGUAACCUACCUAUAAGACUGGGAUAACUUCGGGAAACCGGAGCUAAUACCGGAUAACAUUUGGAACCGCAUGGUUCUAAAGUGAAAGAUGGUUUUGCUAUCACUUAUAGAUGGCCCCGCGCCGUAUUAGCUAGUUGGUAAGGUAACGGCUUACCAAGGCGAAGAUACGUAGCCGACCUGAGAGGGUGAUCGGCCACACUGGAACUGAGACACGGUCCAGACUCCUACGGGAGGCAGCAGUAGGGAAUCUUCCGCAAUGGGCGAAAGCCUGACGGAGCAACGCCGCGUGAGUGAUGAAGGGUUUCGGCUCGUAAAACUCUGUUAUUAGGGAAGAACAAACGUGUAAGUAACUGUGCACGUCUUGACGGUACCUAAUCAGAAAGCCACGGCUAACUACGUGCCAGCCGCCGCGGUAA
rnacentral:rRNA from 1 species